AUUGAACGCUAGCGGGAUGCCUUACACAUGCAAGUCGAACGGCGUGGCGAACGGGUGAGUAAUGUAUCGGAACGUGCCCAGUAGCGGGGGAUAACUACUCGAAAGCGUAGCUAAUACCGCAUACUAUUGGAGCGGCCGAUAUCGGAUUAGCUCGUUGGUGGGGUAACGGCGCACCAAGGCGACGAUCCGUAGCUGGUUUGUGAGGACGACCAGCCAAACUGGGACUGAGACACUGCCCAGACGCCUACGGGAGGCAGCAGUGGGGAAUUUUGGACAAUGGGGGAAACCCUGAUCCAGCCAUCCCGCGUGUGCGAUGAAGGCCUUCGGGUUGUAAAGCACUUUUGGCAGGAAAGCGGUACCUGCAGAAUAAGCACCGGCGAACUACGUGCCAGCAGCCGCGGUAAUUC
rnacentral:rRNA from 1 species